CGAAAAUAGAUAUUCUCUUGAAAAGACGGGGACAAAACUGCGUCCCCGGGCCAGGGUAACUCCGACGCGAAAGACCUGCAGGGCUGACGAUUCAUAACAAGACGCUCGCGUCUUGCCGCCUCACAAUCGAAGGGACAGCCGACGCAACGUCUUCGAACAUCGAGUGAAAACCCGAGAAAGACAGUGAAUGCAGCGAACGAGUUCAUGAAAUUCCAGACGAACUGCGUGAACAGGAAACAGACAUCUCAGCUUGAAACGGCGCGCGGGUAAAGUGUAUUUUAGCUGUUUUUUGUCUUUGAGUGGCUGCGGCGUUCUGACCACGCUCAUCCUCGACAUGAAAGCCUUACGAAUUUGCUGUACAGCAAACCUGACAUACCUGUAGGUCUUAAUAUACCCGUUUCCUGAACUCAUGAGAGUGGUUUAGACACUUCGUUUUGUUGUAGGUAUGCUUUUAAGAACGAGUUGUCCGUGGAGGGUGCAUGGUGCGGCGAGACGCCCGCUUUCGCCGGGGCCCAGGGUGUCGAGACACUUUGCUACCGUUUCGUUAGUUCUUCGUAGAAACUUGUUCCUUUGCAUUCUCUCUCAUGUGUCACCCUUGCUCUUCUCAGCAUCACGACCCAUGUUACGUAAUGUCGCGGAGACCGGUGAAUUGAAAUACAAUGUGUUCGCAAGGUUUAGGGUGUGGUCACGGAAGCUAGAGACUGCAUGGCACUUGUUGGACCGUGCACAACCAGACGUUUUGUAGUCGGUGUGACGUUCACCGGCUGUCUCGUAGAACCAACUCCAUUGAAAUCUUGCGUGUCACGACUGACCUCUCGAUAUCCGAGCACAUCUUCCCUUGCAGAGUUCACGAGUGUCGCGCCACGUAUCUACGAAGGGUUUCAGUUGCGUGCAUAUUCUGGACACUGUUACAAGAACACCCAAGUUCUUCCUGUUCUUUCUUUUACAUUUCUUAUACAACUUGAAAGCCUUUUACCCGGUUUUGAGUCAUAAUGCAUUGUGCAUGAUCCUCAGGAGUGCAUAAGAUAUAGUGGUUCCAGCGCAUGUUUGAAUCGAACAUUUUUGCUUUUGCUCGGUGGUAUAGCUUAAGCAUGUAACCGGCAGGGUAGUUCCUCUGUGAGGCUUUCAAGGAAGCGCAUCUCCCCUGCUUCCGCUGGUAUUGCUUGUCCCUCCGUACGAACGUAUUCAGAGCAUUGCACUGCUUCUAUGUUAUCAGUUCUGACGUGGUUCAUGUGCUAACUCAGGG
rnacentral:lncRNA from 1 species